UUUCCGUGGGUGAACCUGCGGAAGGAUCAUUAUUGGAUUUUGAAACUUCAGGCUGCUGCUGGCUCUCCUCGGAGGGCAUGUGCACGCUUGUUGUCCAUUAUUUCUCCCACUGUGCACAAAUUGUAGACCUUUCAGUAGGCCUAUGUUGUUUUUCACAAUCUCUGAAUGUAAUAGAAUGGUUUUGAAUCUUGGGAAAUACAAUACAACUUUCAGCAACGGAUCUCUUGGCUCUC
rnacentral:misc_RNA from 1 species